GCUGGAGUUACUAGUAAUCGCAGAUCAGAAUGCUGCGGUGAAUGCGUUCCCGGGUUUUGUACACACCGCCCGUCACACCACGGAAGUUGGGGCGCCCGAAGCCACUUAGCUAACCCUUUUGGGAAGCGAGUGUCGAAGGUGAAAUCAAUAACUGGGGUGAAGUCGUAACAAGGUACC
rnacentral:rRNA from 1 species